UACGUAGGCACCAAGCGUUGUCCGGAUUUAUUGGGCGUAAAGAGCUCGUAGGCGGUUCGGUAAGUCGGGUGUGAAAACUCUGGGCUCAACCCAGAGCCGCCACCCGAUACUGCUGUGACUUGAGUGCGGUAGGGGAGCGGGGAAUUCCUGGUGUAGCGGUGAAAUGCGCAGAUAUCAGGAGGAACACCAGUGGCGAAGGCGCCGCUCUGGGCCGUGACUGACGCUGAGGAGCGAAAGCGUGGGGAGCGAACAGG
rnacentral:rRNA from 1 species